rnacentral:sRNA from 1 species
CGUCGGGGCUUUCUUGACGGGGUGCGGGACUCUCCUUAGAAUUUCACACCCCAAAAUUGGCGGGGCAUUCGUGCACCUGCCUUUUUGUUUAUAUGUCGAGAGACAACAGUGGAGCUAUUAGA